rnacentral:tRNA from 1 species
GCCCGGAUAGCGAAAUUGGUAGACGCAGGGGACUCAAAAUCCCCCGCCGUAAGGCAUGUCGGUUCGACUCCGACUCCGGGCACCA